AUCUGCCACAGCGAAACGACGAGGAAGUAGAUAGAGGAGCCAAAAAAAGACAGAAGGUGGAAGAAGAGCCGGAGCAAAACAAUAGAAGCAAAGACAUGGAGACAUAUAGAUAUCGAAGAAUAUCAAAGAGUUUUUAAAGUGACACCAGCAGGAGUGUGUGACCUGACCUUUUACACGCAGAGGGAGAUGCGCCGGGAAAAAGAGAUGAACAGGCCUGAGAGGGAUAAAAUUUCCCCAAGAACGUCGAAGAAAACUGGUAAAGAAGACAAGGAAAAUCUGGACUAAUUGACUCACAUGAAAAGCCAACUGGAUCUAAAGGGAUUCUGGAAACUGCUGUCAUUGAAGACAUCCAUUACUAUACAUCUGCUCAAACACUUGACACCUCAACUCCACACCUCAGUCAUCAUAAACCUUGGCUCACUUAUUGAAAUCUAACACAGCCCAUGACAAUACAAUGCAGAAGAUUACAGCACACCACCUGUUGCUGCACUGAAGCAGUCAGACAUCCUUUUUUUCUCUCUUUUCAGAGUCCAGGAAUGCCACUGUGGAAUGCAGGCCUUACCAUAGCGGCAUAUGAUUAUAAGAUCACAAGUUUUCUUUUACUGCGGGAGCUGACCUACUAAAGCUUCAGGUCUGCAGUGACGUUUGAAAAACAAUCUGCUUGCACUUCGGUCACUGCAGGCAUCCCUCCCUGUCAUAUUACCCCCCAGGCUGUGAGGCAGGAUUGGUGUUAACGUAUCACACAGAAACAGCAGCGGCAUCGAAUGGCCACUGUAUCUGCUUAUCUGCCUGUUGUUUCCCUCGAAAGGUGGCUGGUGACAGAGAGACAAUUACCAAACACAUCACAAAGCCCACCCCAAACUGGCCCCACCGUGUCCCCGAGGGUAUGUGACUCACUGAAUCCCCAGCCUGUUUGUUUGAUGCUUGUGACAAAAGAUCUGACCCCUGACCUUUCAGCUCCCGAUGAGUCACUGGUAGCAGGUUGAAUGACGGGGCUUCCCCACACCAUGCAGCAUUCACGGUACAGCAACGGCUAACAUUUAAAGGUUGCCACAAAAUACUUUUAUGUGUUUGUCUGAACUGUGUAUGCACUAAUCCGUGGGUGACCCUGGCAUGUUGACAGAUCUGAUGUAUGCAAAACAGGACGGUGUUAGCGAGAGAGUCGAAACUUAGCAAACCAAAUGAAAGAAGUGAGCAAGAAGUUGUUUCAAAUGCUAUGGAAUUUGAUUUUUCUAAAUAAGUGGCCUUUAUUUAUCUGUUGUAAUAUCAUCGACUGAUGAGAGAUUAGAUGUGGCUCUCCUCACUUUGGACACUGACAGUGAUACAUGAGCAUCUACCACAAACUUUCCAACCCUUCCU
ensembl:lncRNA